rnacentral:rRNA from 1 species
GACGUAGGGCGCGAGCGUUGUCCGGAUUUAUUGGGCGUAAAGAGCUCGUAGGCGGCUUGUCGCGUCGACUGUGAAAUCCCGCGGCUCAACUGCGGGUCUGCAGUCGAUACGGGCAGGCUAGAGUUCGGUAGGGGAGACUGGAAUUCCUGGUGUAGCGGUGAAAUGCGUAGAUAUCGGGAGGAACACCAGUGGCGAAGGCGACUACCUGGCCUGUUUCUUGACGCUGAGGCGCGAAAGCUAGGGGAGCAACGGGG